CCAGCUAUGGAAAAAAAACAGCGGGGCACCCCAAACAUCGCGGUAUUACGCAUUACCGUAAUACUGCAUAGCAAAGACAUAAUGUCAUAAAAAAAUUACAGUCAGUAUUUAUAGACAGAACUGCGUGGUUUCCCAUUGACAAGUAGAUACAUGGUUUACGGGCUUGAAGGCGGUUAGAUCAACAAAUCCAAUCACGCUCAGCCAAAACAAGCACGAGCUAAACAUACUACUAUUGAUUGGUUCACCUUCAAAUUCGUCCCGCCCUGACAAUUAAUUCUCGUUUUCAUUCGUUGAAAAUGGCGUCAGUACAUAUCUUCAUCCUUUCGACCAAUGAAAAAUUUCGCUGGUUUCCAUAGAAACAAAAUCAGUGCAGUUUGAACAUAAACUUUCUGACAGAGCGAUGGCGCAGCGGUGAGAAGCAUCUCUUCCCCGCUGUUCCUGGGAAAAGCCACCUGCCAAUCAUCCUUGGAGCAGCAGUCAUUCUCAGGAUCUCCUACAUCACAGAUCACCUAAUAAACACAGGACCUGUCGACGACUGGAGAAAAGGAGAAACGCUGAAGCACACUGGGCAUUUUGGAAGCAUUUCAUCAUAAUAAAUUACCUUUGCCUUUACA